rnacentral:rRNA from 1 species
GUAACGGCUCACCAAGGCGACGAUGGGUAGCCGAGCUGAGAGGCUGAUCGGCCACACUGGGACCGAGACACGGCCCAGACUCCUACGGGAGGCAGCAGUGGGGAAUUUUGCGCAAUGGGCGAAAGCCUGACGCAGCAACGCCGCGUGCGGGAUGAAGGCCUUCGGGUUGUAAACCGCUUUCAGCAGGGACGAACGUGACGGUACCUGCAGAAGAAGCCCCGGCUAACUACGUGCCAGCAGCCGCGGUAAUACGUAGGGGGCAAGCGUUAUCCGGAUUCAUUGGGCGUAAAGCGCGCGUAGGCGGCUUGUUAAGCGAGGUGUGAAAACCGGGGGCUCAACCCGCGGCCUGCACCUCGAACUGGCAGGCUUGAGUCUGGUAGAGGAAAGUGGAAUUCCUGGUGUAGCGGUGAAAUGCGCAGAUAUCAGGAGGAACACCAGUGGCGAAGGCGGCUUUCUGGGCCACGACUGACGCUGAGGCGCGAAAGCUAGGGGAGCAAACAGGAUUAGAUACCCUGGUAGUCCUAGCCGUAAACGAUGGGCACUAGGUGUGGGGGGUCAUCGACUCCCUCCGUGCCGAAGCUAACGCAUUAAGUGCCCCGCCUGGGGAGUACGGCCGCAAGGCUAAAACUCAUAGGAAAUUGACGGGGGCCCGCACAAGCAGCGGAGCAUGUGGCUUAAUUCGACGCAACGCGAAGAACCUUACCAGGGCUUGACAUGCAGGGAAAAAGCGGGCGAAACGUCGUGUCCGCAAGGCCCUGCACAAGGGUGGUGCAUGCUGUCGUCAGCUCGUGUCGUGAGAUGUUUGGUU